GACGAACGCUGGCGGCGUGCUUAACACAUGCAAGUCGAACGGAAAGGCCCUGCUUUUGUGGGGUGCUCGAGUGGCGAACGGGUGAGUAACACGUGAGUAACCUGCCCUUGACUUUGGGAUAACUUCAGGAAACUGGGGCUAAUACCGGAUAGGAGCUCCUGCUGCAUGGUGGGGGUUGGAAAGUUUCGGCGGUUGGGGAUGGACUCGCGGCUUAUCAGCUUGUUGGUGGGGUAGUGGCUUACCAAGGCUUUGACGGGUAGCCGGCCUGAGAGGGUGACCGGCGACAUUGGGCCUGAGAUACGGACCAGAGUCCUACGGGAGGCAGCAGUGGGGAAUAUUGCACAAUGGGCGGAAGCCUGAUGCAGCAACGCCGCGUGCGGGAUGACGGCCUUCGGGUUGUAAACCGCUUUCGCCUGUGACGAAGCGUGAGUGACGGUAAUGGGUAAAGAAGCACCGGCUAACUACGUG
rnacentral:rRNA from 1 species